rnacentral:rRNA from 1 species
GCUUCUUUCCUCCCGAGUGCUUGCACUCAAUUGGAAAGAGGAGUGGCGGACGGGUGAGUAACACGUGGGUAACCUACCCAUCAGAGGGGGAUAACACUUGGAAACAGGUGCUAAUACCGCAUAACAGUUUAUGCCGCAUGGCAUAAGAGUGAAAGGCGCUUUCGGGUGUCGCUGAUGGAUGGACCCGCGGUGCAUUAGCUAGUUGGUGAGGUAACGGCUCACCAAGGCCACGAUGCAUAGCCGACCUGAGAGGGUGAUCGGCCACACUGGGACUGAGACACGGCCCAGACUCCUACGGGAGGCAGCAGUAGGGAAUCUUCGGCAAUGGACGAAAGUCUGACCGAGCAACGCCGCGUGAGUGAAGAAGGUUUUCGGAUCGUAAAACUCUGUUGUUAGAGAAGAACAAGGACGUUAGUAACUGAACGUCCCCUGACGGUAUCUAACCAGAAAGCCACGGCUAACUACGUGCCAGCAGCCGCGGUAAUACGUAGGUGGCAAGCGUUGUCCGGAUUUAUUGGGCGUAAAGCGAGCGCAGGCGGUUUCUUAAGUCUGAUGUGAAAGCCCCCGGCUCAACCGGGGAGGGUCAUUGGAAACUGGGAGACUUGAGUGCAGAAGAGGAGAGUGGAAUUCCAUGUGUAGCGGUGAAAUGCGUAGAUAUAUGGAGGAACACCAGUGGCGAAGGCG